ACAAAAACAAGCCAGCUUGACGAGCAAGUCAACAACCUUAGUAACAGCAUUCUCAACUCUAAAUCAGAAAGUUUGGAUUUCUAAUCCAGAAAUAUAAGUAAUGUAAUAUAGCCUGAUACUUCAGUGCAGUAGAACCAAUGCCACCACUUUCUCAAGCCCAGUUACCACUGGCCUACUAAUAAACACAAUGGUGAAGGCAAACAGGUUGUUUCAUAAAUAGGGUCCUCUUGUGGUGCAGCAGUAGUGACCCUGAACAGCUGAACAUGUUGAUUCGAAAAAAAGGAACACUGUAAAACAAAUCAGGACACCAAAUCGUAUGAAAAGGCAGCAUCCACUGAGGUGGUCUGUUGGAGAGAAGACUGCAGAACCUAAUACUCCCAAAAGAUGAACAAGCCAUGGCAGUUCUCUGGAGCUUUUGCAAAUAUUUGUGUUAUCCUCCUGUAAUGUUUACGUACCUUCUGUAUGCUGGGGGUUUUUUCACUGACGUGGUUUGCCACAUUGUUGCUCGUGCGAAGGUCAGUAUUUAUUGUUUAACACCCGUGAACUGAAUGAUUUGAGAUUGAAUGAUAACAGACCCAACAAUUGAUUUUUUUUAAAAAUCCAUGGAUGCUGGAAAUCUGAAAUAAAAACAGAAACGUUUGGAGAAAUUCAGCAGGUCUGUGGAGAUCCAUGGAGAGAAAGCAGAGUUAAUGUUUUGAGUCCAGUGACUUGUCUUUGGUACACUUUUUUUGUCUAUUUAAGUUAAAUGGAUGUCUUAGAAUGAAAGCUUAUAUUUUUGAGUCACUCUAAAUGUAAUUUUACCUUGAUUAAAAAAUAGCAAUUUCAGAAACAGGGAAAAGUCACUAAAAAUAGAAUUUUGCAGUUAACAUUUCAAGUAAACAGCAUACAAAACCUGUGCAUUUUUAACAGCUCUUUUAUCAUGGAGCUUCCUUUGAUCCGAUUCUUCAAAGGAUGCACAGGGAAAACCAAGUUUGCAGGAUUUUCAAUCUGGUGUCAGGUAAUCGGCAGUAUUUCAGGGAGCUCAUUCCAUAAUACAUCAGUUUUAAAUGGUUGUGAGUGACUGGUAAUCUCUUGGAACAAGGAUGAUACUUGCUCUCAUGUCAAGAACCUACUUUGCAGAUCCAGGCUCUGCAUCUCGCAUGAAAACCAUUCAACAGGUCUAAUCUGGCAAAGUCCAGCUUUAUGCAAGAUUUUGAAACAACAUUAACCUUUAAGCUGAUGACAGUAGCUGUUCGUUCUCACCUGUCACAGUUCACUCAACUGAAUGAUUCUCAAGUCAGACAGCUAUUGCAGAUUGCUUUAGGAAGUAUUGUUUUUAAAUUGCCAUUUUGUUCAUGCUUAUCACUUUGUCUUUUAAGAUUUUUAUCCUGCAGUUCCACUUAUUUAAUGGAGUCUUUUAACAUGGAGAGGCUGUGUACCACAGUUACCACAUGGCUCUGUUUGACCAGGAAACUCUUCUCUUACUGUUUGCUAUAGACAGAUCAGUAGGAUUUACAAAUUGAUAACCGACCUGUUUGCCUGAAUUAUGACAUACCUGUAGUCAACAAGUCCUGAGGUGAAAUUUGAAGAUUCUGGCCCAGAGAAACCAGCACCGGUUAAAAAGGCAAGUUCGGAUAAAUCAUCAUUCCCAGAGAACUUAAGAUAAUGCAAACUUUGCCGCUGCUAAAGAACAAGACAACAGUUAAACAGUUGGAGAUAGUAGGAACUGCAGAUGCUGGAG